AUGUUCCCUCUGGUGGGAAAAACAUUUUUUACUCAAUUGGUCUUGUGUAGAGAAGUGACCAACCCGUUUGUUGAUUGGAUUAAUACUAACUCUGAAACUUUUCAUUCCGAUUACAUAUUCUUAACACCUCUGUUUGGAGGAGAAAUCUUAGUUAAUAGUUCAAAGAAUGCCAAUAAAUUUCUUAGUCCAAAUGUGUUGUUUACCACUGUUUUCAAGAAUAUGUAG